rnacentral:tRNA from 1 species
GACCCCGUCGUCUAGCGGCCAAGGACCUCAGGAUUUCCUCCUGAUGACGUAAGUUCAAAUCUUGCCGGGGUCGCCA